UACGUAGGGCGCAAGCGUUAUCCGGAAUUAUUGGGCGUAAAGAGCUCGUAGGCGGUUUGUCGCGUCUGCCGUGAAAGUCCGGGGCUCAACUCCGGAUCUGCGGUGGGUACGGGCAGACUAGAGUGAUGUAGGGGGAGACUGGAAUUCCUGGUGUAGCGGUGAAAUGCGCAGAUAUCAGGAGGAACACCGGUGGCGAAGGCGGGGUCUCUGGGCAACAACUGACGCUGAGGAGCGAAAGCGUGGGGGAGCGAACAGG
rnacentral:rRNA from 1 species